rnacentral:lncRNA from 1 species
GGCUAGAAAAGAUUCCCACAAUGGAAAGAAAGAAAGCUACUACUAGCCAUCCACUUCCUCUUGAUUAGACAAUUGAAACGGAGGGUUCAAUGCAUCCCCAGCAAUUCUCCAAAGAAGGUUCGACAUGUCAUGUGCCAACGUGGUGGUCGCAAAUGAAGUUGGGAAUGUUCCCCAUCAAGGGGUCAUCACCAAAGUUGAGCCACGCUUGGAGUCUAAUGCUGUCGGCUCUUUGUUGCCUCCACCCAUUCAAUCACUAGACUUUGGACAUAAAAGCUACCUACGUGAGCUUGUGGAGCUCAUGUGCCCAACUCAAAAACCUAGUUAGAU